GGAGCUCUGUGGAGCAGCAUCUGCUUUUCACGCAGAAGGUCCCGGGUUCAAUCCCCGAUAUCUCCA